CAUCUCCAAGGAUCCUUCCAUUGCAAUAGGCCCCAGGAUGGCCAAAACUGUCUCUUCCUCUGUAGGGACAAGAGGAACUGAACUGAUACCCCAUCAGUCUUGUUUGCUUCCCUCUUAAGUGCCACAGCCAUCGUUUAUUUUGAGUGAUUUCUGCCCAGAUUUUAUUUUUGUCAGCUUUGUAAUGCUAUUUUUCAGAUUUGAAAAUAGCUGGAUUUUACUAUUUUCCACCACCUUCUCAAAAAUAACUGCAAUUUCAAGCAUUGAAAAUUGGGGUUUCGGUGUCAUUUUCAUUAACACGUCAGAAUGGCAAGAAGACAUGAAUAGGAAAGAUUGAGCAAAAAAGCAAUCCACAACAGUACAUCACAGUUUUUCAAAACCCAUCUUUUUCAAUUGUGGUUAAGUAGCCUAUAUAUUACAUAAGAAAUAGUAUUUAUCUGAAAUUGUGAAAUUAUUGAUAUUGGAAUCAGAAAAGAGCACAUUUUUAACUCCGUGUGUGUAUAAUGUAUUGCAGAACAAAGAUUGAUUCGUUAUCACUCGAAUCUAACGUCAUUUCAAAAGCGUAAUUCCAGUCGAAGAAAAGAGAAAAUAAAACCAAAUUACUGAAGGUGGCGGUAUGUGCUCAUGUCUCCAGUCAGCCUUUAGAUCGAAGAAGAAGAAGAACGACGGCUCCAACCAACGUAGUUUGAAUGAUGGCAAUAAUGCACUGUUAAGUGCGGUUGCCAAUAAAACGAAAGAAGAAGAAAGAAGAAGAAGAACGUAGUUUGAACUAUGGAUCUGCGACACAGGUACCAUGGUUUCGGGAAACAGUCGUGACUAGGUCGUUCGUUUUUCAUAACGAUGCAUCGUACUAUGGUGGUUAAUCUGCAAGCUACGUCGUUGUACGGGAAACGCACCCUUGUUCAGCUUUUCUGCGUCUUGUGUUUGAAUGAUUUAAACUCUUUUGAAUGUUUAAAUUGAAAAGUGGAGAGGCUUAAAAACACAUGAAAAUGAUAAGCUUUCGUGACAACACGCAGCAGUGGCCUGAAAGAGUUUAAGAUGAUUCUGAUCAGAGAUCAGUGCUAAUGGAGAUCCCAGAACCAUAGGCCAAGAUCACAGUUGUAAAUCACGCGCAGAAUGCUUCAUGAGUGAGCUUUAUCCCUCACAGGACGUCUGAGGAGAUCCGACAUGGAUGUGUUGUCGCUGCGGGACACGUGAGGUGUGGACACGUUGGACGCAGGUUCAGGAAGACGCCGGAACCGGAAACAGUCUUCUACUCGCUGAACAGUCAGUUCAGAUGGCGUCCGUGUCGCUGACCUCUGACCUCAGGCUCUUACUGGAGGAUCUGCAUCAGAAGAAGACCAGCGUCUACAGAUCCAUCCCAUACUCUCCUCUGGCCUCCAGCAGAGACACACACUGCUACAGGAACACACACCUGAUGGCCUUCCCUCGUUACAGUAAUGAUAGGACACUGGUCAUACACUGCUGGGAAAAUGUUUGAAAUCAUUCAAAUGUUUUAAUCAUUUUGAAAAGUUUUUCUGUAGAUAAAUACAAAGUUAAGAAGAACAGCAUUUAUUUGAAAUGGAAAUCUUUUGUAACCAUGUAAAUGCCUUUAAUAUCUCUUGUCGUCCUUGAAGAAUACGUUUUUCCACUUACCCCAAAUUUAUGAAUGGUAGUGUAUGAUGGUUUCCACUGUGUUCAACACUGAUAAUAAUCAGAAAUGUUUCUUUAGCAGUAAAUCAUCAUAUUAUUCUGAUUUCUGAAGAUCAUGUGACACUGAAGACUGGAGGAAUGAUGCUGAAAAUACAGCGGAGCAUCACAGAAAUACAUUACACUUUAACACAGAUUCACACAGAAAACAGAUGAUUUACACUGGAAUAAUAUUUCACAUUUGUAAUUUAUUUUUAAUUAUAUAAAUGCAGCCUUGAGCAGAAGAGAAAAAAACUGUAAAACUAAACUUUUAAAAACUGUAAUUGUUCCAGACUGUGGGCUGCUAGUGAAUAUGUUUCUGUGUAAUGUAAAACUCAUUAGUUUCACUGGAGGUGAAGUAGAAAGUAAUUUCAUUGACAUUCAUGCAUUUGCUGAUGUUUUUAGUGAAGUGAGAUUUUUUUUUUUUUUUUUUACAUCAUUUCAGUUCAUACUUUCACUGGGAAUCGAACCCAUGUCUUUGAUAUUAUCAGAGUUGUGUAAAAUGGUGCCACAUGAACUGUACACAGAUUGAUUGUAGUGAAUAGGCUGAACUGAACUGAGUGUGUUGUGUUUGUGAAGCGCUCGUGUCAGGACCGGGGCCGUCUGCUCCUGCAGGAAGCUCAGUGGGAGAAGCUGCUGGGUGCCGCGAGCCGCUACACCAGUGAGCUCCAGCAGUGGGAGACCAGCUCCCAUAAUGCACUGCAGGAGCACUGCUACGACACGCUAGCUGCUCUCUGAGGAAACACAGACCCGUCUGGCACAGAGCACGAGAACUGCUUCACAGGUGAACAAACACAUCACAAACAACAUGCCCCAUUCAGCAUCCCUCCUCCACCCCAUCUCCUCACUCCCAGUUCACCUUUAAUAGACGGGGGGGGGGACUCUAGGUUCGGGACAUUCCCGAGCUCCAGAGCACGUGACCCGCUCCUCUGCAAUUAUUCUUGCAGUUGAUUAUUUUGUGUAUUUGGCUUAAUAUUAAAAGUGUUUUAUAAUAAAUGUUGCCUGAAGGUGUUAGAUUUUACAGUGGUCAGAGGUUUAGUGAAUUAUGAGAAUUUCAAAGUGCUUAUUUAAUAUUUAAAACAAGGAGGUUGUGGGAAUACCUGCACUUGAUCAUGCGAGGUGUGUUCCUGCUGUUCUCAGGUCAGUCACAGGGUGGCAGUCAUCACACAUUCACUUCCAGGACUUCAGGAAAACAGCAAAUAGUCAAAAAUCAGUGCAAGUUUAUUAUAAUAUUAAUAAUAAUACAUUUUAUUUGUAAUGCAGUUUUCUUAAACCCAAAGCACUACAGUGAAACUAAAAUACGAAAAAGGACAACGCAAGAAUUAAUUAAAAACACUUGAAAAAUGUCACUUUAAAGUGUUCCAGGUUUGGUGCAUUUCUGACAUUAAAGGGAACUGCAUUGCCUCAAAUGAAAAAGCUGAAGUUUGCAUGAAGGCUGAAGAUACAGAUUGUAUUUUCUGGUCUAAUUUUACAGUUUUGGUAGCAUUGUUUUUUUUUUUUUUUUAAUACCUGUAUUGUUUUUAGUCAGUUUCAUUGAAUUGUGC